GCGGACGUGUGGGCUAGCCAAGGCAAGCCCAGGCGGGCACACGUAGGGAUGGCCCGCAUGACCUCAUGUGGUCCACAUGUGAGGGGUGGAUCGGGUAGCAUUUCCCCACGUGUUUUGCAUGAUCUAUGAUGGAUUUGGACAUUUUCAAGAGUGUUUCUUGCGAUCCAUGGGGUUUUCUGUGGACUAAUUUGCGAUCAAAUGGCUUCAGAGGCUCAUGGGCAUGAUCUGGGUCUUGAUCUGAUGACUGAAAAGCAAGAAAACAUGAUCUGAGGCUUUGUUUGUACGAUCUGAUGAUUGGAGAUGUUUAUGAUUAAGAUCAGAUAGGCCAGGGAGGUUUUUGUGUCAUGUUAAAGCUCUGUUACUGAGUGUGACUCAGAUUUAGGGUUUUAAAGAGCCCUAUGGGCAAUAGAAAGGUGAAGCACUGAGAUAGAGCUCAGUUUGUAGCUGAGAGGAGUUCAACGAGCAUCGAGCAUGAGCAGUCGAUAGAGCAGAUAUAGGUAGAGCCAGCAGAAUAUUAGGCAGAGCAACUGUAGAGGCAUGAUAUAGCAGUUUGCAUCAUAGGAAGCAUCCAGAGGUAUCGAGGAUCCUGAUACUGGCAGGUCUGUGAGUGGGUCCCCUUGAGGAAUUUUGAGAGAGCUUUUGUAAGAGUAGCUUCUAGUUGAGAGAGGUUUGUGUAUGGAGAGUUGAGAGUGUGAAGAUCUCCUCUUGUACUUAUUUUUCUCUUUCAUAGUGAAGCUUGUGUGCCCUAUGAAAGUAGCACUUGGGCUAUUCUACAUACUUGAUUGUGUGCUCCUAUUUUAUUUUAUUUCUUCUUUCUUUCUGCGGCAAUGAAUGGUACUGGAUCUACAACAAGUGAUAUCACAACAUGAGUUAGGUCCCAAUUUUUAAACACACAUGAUAUACUUGUUGCAUGGCUUGACUGCUUUGUAAUAAAUAGCCUCGGUCUAUUACCCUCUGCUCUAGCAUUUGAUAUGUGAUCUAUCGCUUUUAUGGAUGGCCCAAGAAUUUUAUUCCUCGGGCUUUGAUGAUUGAUAUGGCUGUCUGGCACACUGCAUGUUGUCUCAAUUUAUGAGGAGUGUAUAGGGGGAGCAUGUCAAUCUUGUUGUAUAUGAUAGCUAGAGAGGUUAUUCCUAGUAUAGUGGGUUCUGUGGAUCGAUUGAGAUGAAGACCCCUAGCCGGGGCAUGGCAGUUAUCAGAGGAAUGGCCUGGUGGCGAGCAAGAGGCACGCAUGAGGCUUUGGACCCUUGGUUAGGGCAUGGUAGGUUGUGCAAGUAGGGAGAUACAACUCAAACGGUCAGAUCCAGUGCUAUUAGGGGGGACUUUAGAUGCCCGAAUCCAUUGAACAUGAGUAGAGGGAGCUUUAGGGUCGGAAGAGAAUGGCGAUGUCGGCUGGGGGAACUCAAAUCUAUGGACCCAAUGAAGCAUGCAGCCUGUUGUGGCUAGAAUCCAUCCUAGACCAAAGGCACUGGAGCGGGGCAAUGUUCGGUGCGUCAGUGGCAAUCAGACUUUCAAGAAAAGCCCCCAUCGAAGGUGGCUUCGGUGGGGACAUUCUGAUGCUCAAGUCAGAUUUUUUAUAGCAGAUGAAAAAGAGCAAGCAUUUAUGAGGGGGAG
rnacentral:lncRNA from 1 species